UUCUUAACUGAUUGGCUUUUCCACUCAGACAGUCUCUCUUGCUGACGGUAUCGGUAUUUCAACGAGUCUCCAGCGGGUAUUGGCGGUGGAGAGAGAAACGGCCGGCGGAGCUUAGCUAGCACGGCAUCACUCUCUCUCUCUCCCACCCGCUGAAGCAACAGGGUCCGAUGCAACACAGUGAAGAAGAGAUCAGGUCCCCCCCGCCCCCCCCGACAGAAAAGGAAGGGGGGGAGGGAGAAAACCCUUGACUCGGUAAUGAUCCUUCCGCAGGUUCACCUACGGAAA
rnacentral:misc_RNA from 1 species